GGGAUGAAGAUUGCGUGCCUCGUAUUUGUGUGCGAUUUGCUUGAAUGGACUGGCAGCUAUUAGCAUGGAGGACUCUGUGUACGACAGUAUAGAUGACACCCAAGAUCCAACUACAACAGACACAUUUCCAGAGAAGGCUAAAGUCCUGGUUGAGGAUGACAUAAUCGGCCAUCCUGCAUCCAUUGUGUAUCAUGACAGUCUCCACCAACCGGCCCAAUAUCUGGUUCUGCCUGUGAACAUGUGCACCGCUAAGGACCCAAAAACCAAUGUUGGGUGCCGUGCUCCUAGGCCUUUCGAAAUCAGUGUCAAGUCCAGGGGCACAGCAGCUAUCGUUGAAUGGAUGUGUCUUCAUGGUCACACUGUAUGGAAAAUAAAUGGUGUUCCCAGCCCGCUUUAAAGUUUGGGAUGCUGGUUGGGGACUUCAUGUUGGCCAGUAACAUGCUGCUCUCUGGCAACAACUAUGCCAAGAUUUCACUACUUUUCCAGUUCAUGAAAAUGGGGAUGGUGGAGAGGUCCUCCUUCUUCAGAAUCCAGGACUCCUACUGUGUAGACAGUAUAAAGGACUUCUGGAACGAGAAGCGGCCCAAACUCAUCACCCAGCUUCACCCUAAAGGGCCUGUUGUGAUCUUGGGUUGAGAAACACACACUAGCACAAACUAUACACCAUAGUAUAUAACUGUAUUUGUUCCCCAGAAGCAGUAUUAGCAGGGCAGAUGCAUGGGGAUUCAAAGACCAAACACAACCAAAAUCAUUCAAAAGAAAAUCAGUAAAGACCUCAAAAAUAAUUGUGUGAAAGUAGAAAUAUAAUGCAAUCAAAUGUGCACAAAAUGUCAGUACUUAUUUUAUUGGGGUUGAGCUUCAUUUAGACUCUUCAUGUUGAGUGUGAGCCUAUACCAGGCAACUUUAGCUUUUGAAUAGAUGUGAGUCAACUCAAACUUUCAAAUUCUAGCGCACCCGAGCUGGUUUCUCCUUUCUUACCUACUCCACCUUUAAUGUAUACUUGUUAAAAUGGACACUAAACAUAUUUUACAAUAUCUAUUUAUGAUCUAAUUCCCUCAGUUCGACAUUAUGAGCUGUUUACAUUUAGUUACAUUUCUUCUGUUUUGUUUACUCCUUUUGUUUGCAUCUGGUUUUUACAUUUUUCAUUCCUGUUUA